UGAUACAGCACAUAUCAUUAUAUACUAGUGCAACAAUGGACAAGGCUCAUACAACCCUACUUAUUCUCUUCUCUAUUCUCCUCACCAUAACUCCCAGCCUUGCCCAGUCAGCUUGCAACAAUGGCGCCAGUCUAUGCUGGAAAUGUUCAGACAAGAACGACAGUGAUUCAUCCCCAUCGGCCACAUACAAAGACAACCUCAAAGCUCUCUUGCUCUCCUUCCCAACCGCCGACCAAAACGACGUCGGAUACUACAACAUCUCAAAGGGUACAACGCCCGAUGAUACAGUCACUGUGAUCGGACUAUGCAGAGGAGACAUAGUCAACGACACUAAUAAUAAACCUUGCCAGAGUUGCUUGAGCGAAGCUGCCACUUCGGUUUUGGCAAAUUGUCCAACUCAAAAGGAGGCAAUCAUAUGGGCCGAGCAGUGUAUGAUAAGGUACUCAAACGACUCGAGUUUUCAUCUCAUGAAGGAGGAGCCACUUCAGGUGUUGACAAGUCCCACUAAUUAUACAGACGUGGGGGCUGAAACGUUCAAUCCAAAGUUAAAGGCUCUGCUUGAUAAUUUGACCACGGCCGCUAGUUCGAGCGGUGGAAAGUACGCAUCGGGUAGUGUCAAUGUCACGGCGUCUCGGACGAUACUCUCUUGUUCAGUGCAUACCAAGCCUGAGCCUAGAGGAGUGUAGUGAUUGCUUAGAUGAGUCGAGCUCGAAGAUCCCAGAUCGAGUUGAAGGAGCCAGAGUACUUAAACCUGAUUGUACUCUCCGCUACGAGAAAGCAAUUUUCUACACCCCUACUAGACUGUCUUCUACCACUAAUAAUAAUCAGACCUCUGGUAGUGGUCCCUCUACAUCUACAGGUGAAAAGAAGAAUAGUGAAGAUAAAAUUGUUGUUCCUGCUCUUUCGAGUUUGAUUGGAGUGGUUGUACUUGGUGUAUUGGUACAUGGAUUUCCUUGAUGAGAUCAAGGAAGUAAGCAAUGGUUUGGAUUAGUCGUAAUUUUAAUAAGAGGAGGCCGACUCUCUUGCAAGUUAUUGGUCCUACUCUGCGAGUGUUUGAAAUUCUGAAUUUUUGGGAGGUGAUUCCCAGUUUGAUGAUCAUCAUUUUUUUUUUUAAGUUUUGGUUUAUAAAUUUUUGGAUCUCAUAUGAAAAGAAAAGGAAGUACGCAAUUAAUGGGCAAUAAUUAUUAAUUAUUUUU